CUUUGGGAGGGCGCGGUGUGGGGUCGGUGUCGCCCUGCGCCGCAACCGGGACGGAACCGCGCAGUCAUUGACUGCGCGGUCGGGGAGGGGUCUUGGCCGCAAGGCUAAGGCAGCUCUCCGGAGAUGGCUUGGCGGGGGAGCGGCGGGACGGCAUGGGAUUUCAGCAUCCUCGCCGUCCUCUAUCCAACGCCCGAGAUGGACACCCGCUGGGGUUUUAGUGAGGUAGGUCUUGGGCCCCCUGGUCGAACCAUUCGUGGCUCGACCAAGGGGAACAAGGAGUCCCACAUAACCCACACCCCUACCCGGGGGUGUGUGGUAGCAUGACCGUUUCCCCAGCGUCACAAAAAAAAAGGUGAUGACAGCAUCCGGAUGGAAGUGUCCCACAAAGAAUUCUCAGGAGUCUCUAAAGAAUCCCCAGGAACAUGAUACAGUCAGUAGGAAGCCAAUUGCCAACGCAGGUCUAGAAACAUCCGCAGAGCAUUUCUCCAACUUAAGGCGAUGUAUGCACAUUCAUCAAAGCACCAAAAUUUACACAUUUAUAAUUAUAACGUCAAUAUAUAUUUAUCCAUUGUUUAUAAUGGACAAAUCAUCAUCAUCUCAUCACGAUGCUACACAGUAAGGUCAUAACUGACCCUAAAUGACAAAAAACGUCUGAAAUAUGCAAGGAUGAAAUCAAUCAACACAUACGUUCCAUAUAUGUAUAUGUGUAAUUACUGAAGAUCAUCUUAUCAAGACUAAUCAGCAAAUUAUAGUGUACAAAAGGAUCAGAUUAGUAUAUCACAAUAUAAUUAGUUAAUAUUUCACUACAAUUCUGACACAAUAAUCUUUUAAUAUUUGAGUAUUCAACUAUUAUCAUAUAAGUCUAUGAAAAGUCUGUCCAUGAUAUAACACAAGUACUAAAUACUAGAUAAUAAGUAUUUAAAUUAUGUCCAUAUAUAUUCAAUGCUCAUUUAAGACCUAAUAAGCAAAUUCAUUGUCCCCUCCAAGUCCUGCACAAAAAGACUAUCAAACUGACCUUUAAUGCAAGAGUCUAGUAUCUAAUUAAUAAUCCAUAAGAUUACUAUUGUCUUUACAAUAUGAAAAUGUAUUUCACCAUCACAGGCUAUAUUAACCUGUUAUAACGAUAUCUAAAUAUUAAAGUUUAUUAACAAUAUUCAAAUAUUGAAAUUUACGAUAUCUAAAACAAGGAUCUUUUAGUCAUUGACAACUUGUAUAGUGAAAUAACUUUGCAUAUCUCAGCACAUAUUUCUACUUAUUCACUACACACAAUAACAAUUGUUUCACUUAUCUAGGUGAUGACAACAACCAGAUGGUAAAUCGCCAGAAGUCUAAUAAAUCUCAGGAGCAUUAUACAAGCCAUGAGUGAUCAUGAUUUCCAAGAGGUCCAUAUCCACAACGUAUUUCACCGACUUAAGAUAAUAUAUGCAUAUAUAUCAAAACACCAGUAUGCACAUAUUAAUUAUUUUCAUAACUCAAAUUCUGAAGAGAACGUGUUAUAUUGCAACAACAACCUCCUACAUAUGAGUCUUAUUUCACUUGGAAUACAGAAUUUCAUUUAUCCGAACAGAACAAUGAUCAAGCUAAGUUUUCCAUCACACUCCACAUAUAAUUUUAACCAGAAUUAGUUAUAUAUAACAUAUCUGAUAUCAAUAAUACUGAAUUAAUGAAAUAACGAAACUAAUUGUUCAGUGAUAUUAACAAUAGAAUAAUAUAAUAAUUAUUCCCUGUAACACAUCACAGUUCAAAUACAGAAGUAGAAGAAAAAGUCACAGCCAUUUUACUACUAAUUCACAGUUUAUUAAUUAUCAUUAAUUAACAAACUAGAAGUCUAUUCAAUUUUAAAGACAGAUACUAAUCCGAUUUAUAUAUUUCAGUAAAUCCUGAAGAGAGCAUGUUGUAUUGCAAUUACAACUUUCAAUGUUUAGAUUAAAGGAAAGUCACAGUUAUUUUGGUCGAAACAUUAUUCAAUCAGUGCAGUCUUAUAUCCGAAAUCAGACCAUUAAAUACAAUAAUAAUGAUUAUUUAUUAUAACACAUCACAAUGCAGAUGCAAAAUAGAAGAAAGUCACGACUGUAUUAUUAUUAUUUCACAACUUAUUGUUUAUCAUUGACUAAUUAAUUAAAAUCUAUUCAAUUUAAAGUCAGAUACUAAUUUAACUGGUCUAUUUCAGUAAGUUCGAUAUACCUAGUAUUGUUAAUAUUAAAUCAUGUCCACAAGAAGUUCAUCAUACAGCAAAUAACUAUUUAACACCAUAUUCCAAAUUAGAAUAAUAAUAUUGUUUUAUUCAACAGGGUCCCAUUCAGAGUCUAAAGAUGACAUCAGAGCAAUCAUCAUCAAUUUUAAUACAUCCGACUUAACGAAAUACAUAUACCGUAUAAAUAUACACAUAUGUAAAUCUUGGAAUGAAAAGCGACAAUAUCCUCCUCCAGAAGAGCAACAAAUAUGACAGAAGCACUAAUAGGACUUAUCAUUAGAAAGUUUCUUAUACGAUUAUCAAUCCAGACUAAUUGAAGUAAAUAAUGCAUAUCAAUGUCUAUUAUCACAUUAAUAAUAAAGUCACUAAUUAUCAGACCAAUAACUAAUUGUUAAACCAAUAACUAUUUAAUUAACCUAGUAUUCUUAUAAGGUAUUCAUAUUCCUUAAUUUGUCCAUAAAUCUUAUAUCUUAUUAAUUAAUAAUUAAUAUGGUCACUCAUAACUGUGUCACUGAUAUUAUUCAGUUGUUAUAUAAAUCAAAUUUCCGCGGUUUAUUAUAAUGACCAAUGACAGAUUGACAGCAAGUAUAAGCCAAGCUGCUAACCCACUUGAGCACGCGCGCACUGCGCAAAGCAUGUGCGCCACGAUGAUCGACUGCCACGUGUUAAUUACUUCAAUACGCUUAAUUAAGUCAAAAUGUCAAAAAUUUAAUAUAGUUCACCUAAAAGUAUUUAUAUAAUUAUAAAUCUAUUGAACAGAAGGCAUAGGA